rnacentral:lncRNA from 1 species
GUGGAGGAGAAAUCAUAGCCUACAGCAAACAUUGCUCACCAAGAUAUUGGUGGUAAAGCAAAUAUAUUCUCUACAACUUCUAAGAAUAGUACUUCAAUUAUUGAUACAGGUGUAUUUGAUUACAUGACUAGAGACUCUGGUCAAUUACAAUCUAUUCGUCCUUCUUUCUAAUCUGUUAUAUCUACUGCUAAAGGUAGUACCUCUCCUA